rnacentral:rRNA from 1 species
GACGUAGGGCGCGAGCGUUGCCCGGAUUUAUUGGGCGUAAAGAGCUCGUAGGCGGCUUGUUGCGUCGACCGUGAAAACCCGGGGCUCAACUUCGGGCUUGCGGUCGAUACGGGCGGGCUAGAGUUCGGUAGGGGAGACUGGAAUUCCUGGUGUAGCGGUGAAAUGCGCAGAUAUCAGGAGGAACACCGGUGGCGAAGGCGGGUCUCUGGGCCGAUACUGACGCUGAGGAGCGAAAGCGUGGGGAGCGAACA